GACGAACGCUGGCGGCGUGCUUAACACAUGCAAGUCGAACGGAAAGGCCCUGCUCUUGUGGGGUGCUCGAUUGGCGAACGGGUGAGUAACACGUGAGUAACCUGCCCUUGACUUUGGGAUAACUUCAGGAAACUGGGGCUAAUACCGGAUAGGAUCUCCUGCUGCACGGGGGGGGUUGGAAAGUUUCGGCGGUUGGGGAUGGACUCGAGGCUUAUCAGCUUGUUGGUGGGGUAGUGGCUUACCAAGGCUUUGACGGGUAGCCGGCCUGGGAGGUUGACCGGCCACAUUGGGACUGCGAUACGGCCCAGACUCCUACGGGAGGCAGCAGUGGGGAAUAUUGCACAAUGGGCGGAAGCCUGAUGCAGCAACGCCGCGUGCGGGAUGACGGCCUUCGGGUUGAGAACCGCUUUCGCCUGUGACGAAGCGUGAGUGACGGUAAUGGGUAAAGAAGCACCGGCUAACUACGUG
rnacentral:rRNA from 1 species